rnacentral:rRNA from 1 species
UACGGAGGGUGCAAGCGUUAUCCGGAUUCACUGGGUUUAAAGGGUGCGUAGGUGGGCAAGUAAGUCAGUGGUGAAAUCUCCGGGCUUAACCCGGAAACUGCCAUUGAUACUAUUUGUCUUGAAUACUGUGGAGGUCAGCGGAAUAUGUCAUGUAGCGGUGAAAUGCUUAGAUAUGACAUAGAACACCAAUUGCGAAGGCAGCUUACUACGGAUACAUUGACACUGAGGCACGAAAGCGUGGGGAUCAAACAGG